rnacentral:rRNA from 1 species
UACGUAGGGUGCAGGCGUUAAUCGGAAUUACUGGGCGUAGAGCGUGCGCAGGCGGUUUGCUAAGACAGGUGUGAAAUCCCCGGGCUUAACCUGGGAACUGCGCUUGUAACUGGCAAGCUAGAGUGUGGCAGAGGGGGGUGGAAUUCCACGUGUAGCAGUGAAAUGCGUAGAGAUGUGGAGGAACACCGAUGGCGAAGGCAGCCCCCUGGGCUAACACUGACGCUCAUGCACGAAAGCGUGGGGAGCAAACAGG